rnacentral:rRNA from 1 species
GACGAACGCUGGCGGCGUGCCUAAUACAUGCAAGUUGAGCGCUGAAGGUUGGUACUUGUACCAACUGGAUGAGCAGCGAACGGGUGAGUAACGCGUGGGGAAUCUGCCUUUGAGCGGGGGACAACAUUUGGAAACGAAUGCUAAUACCGCAUAAAAACUUUAAACACAAGUUUUAAGUUUGAAAGAUGCAAUUGCAUCACUCAAAGAUGAUCCCGCGUUGUAUUAGCUAGUUGGUGAGGUAAAGGCUCACCAAGGCGAUGAUACAUAGCCGACCUGAGAGGGUGAACGGCCACAUUGGGACUGAGACACGGCCCAAACUCCUACGGGAGGCAGCAGUAGGGAAUCUUCGGCAAUGGACGAAAGUCUGACCGAGCAACGCCGCGUGAGUGAAGAAGGUUUUCGGAUCGUAAAACUCUGUUGGUAGAGAAGAACGUUGGUGAGAGUGGAAAGCUCAUCAAGUGACGGUAACUACCCAGAAAGGGACGGCUAACUACGU